GAUGAACGCUGGCGGCGUGCCUAAUACAUGCAAGUCGAACGAAACUUCUUUAUCACCGAGUGCUUGCACUCACCGAUAAAGAGUUGAGUGGCGAACGGGUGAGUAACACGUGGGCAACCUGCCCAAAAGAGGGGGAUAACACUUGGAAACAGGUGCUAAUACCGCAUAACCAUAGUUACCGCAUGGUAACUAUGUAAAAGGUGGCUAUACUACCGCUUUUGGAUGGGCCCGCGGCGCAUUAGCUAGUUGGUAGGGUAAAGGCUUACCAAGGCAAUGAUGCGGUGCCGAAGUGAGGGGGUGGUCGGCCACAUUGGGACUGAGACACGGCCCAAACUCCUACGGGAGGCAGCAGUAGGGAAUCUUCCACAAUGGGCGAAAGCCUGAUGGAGCAACGCCGCGUGGGUGAAGAAGGUCUUCGGAUCGUAAAACCCUGUUGUUAGAGAAGAAAGUGCGUGAGAGUAACUGUUCACGUUUCGACGGUAUCUAACCAGAAAGCCACGGCUAACUACGUG
rnacentral:rRNA from 1 species